rnacentral:rRNA from 1 species
CCCUUAGAUGUUCUGGGCCGCACGCGCGCUACACUGAUGCAUUCAACGAGCCUAACCCUGACCGAGAGGUCCGGGUAAUCUUUGAAACUGCAUCGUGAUGGGGCUAGAUUAUUGCAAUUAUUAAUCUUCAACGAGGAAUGCCUAGUAAGCGUGAUUCAUCAAAUCGCGUUGAUUACGUCCCUGCCCUUUGUACACACCGCCCGUCGCUCCUACCGAUUGAGUGUGUUGGUGAGGAGUUCGGAUUGGCUCUUAGUGGUGGUUCGCCACCACCUAGAGCUGAGAAGUUCUCCAAACCGCCCCACUUAGAGGAAGGAGAAGUCGUAACA